GCAUGCUAGUACAAAUAUUGUUGCAAGGAGUUAAUUCUCAUCAUAUCUAGCAUGACCUCCUAGAAUCAGGUGCACCAAUCUCUUAAAUAUAACAUAUUAAUUUGCUAUUAUCAUCCUUUGUGAACCCAUCAGAUUACCAAGAAAAUGUGAGACUAACUAGAAAACAAUUGAAAUGGAGGUUACGUAUGAUAAGAAUGCAUGUGGCGG
rnacentral:lncRNA from 1 species